UAAGCGUGCGCAGGCGGUUAUGUAAGACAGAUGUGAAAUCCCCGGGCUCAACCUGGGAACUGCAUUAGUGACUGCAUAGCUGGAGUACGGCAGAGGGGGAUGGAAUUCCGCGUGUAGCAGUGAAAUGCGUAGAUAUGCGGAGGAACACCGAUGGCGAAGGCAAUCCCCUGGGCCUGUACUGACGCUCAUGCACGAAAGCGUGGGGAGCAAACAGGAUUAGAUACCCCGGU
rnacentral:rRNA from 1 species